rnacentral:rRNA from 1 species
UUGACAUCCAGCGAACUUGGCAGAGAUGCCUUGGUGCCUUCGGAACGCUGAGACAGGUGCUGCAUGGCUGUCGUCAGCUCGUGUUGUGAAAUGUUGGGUUAAGUCCGCAACGAGCGCAACCCUUAUCCCUUGUUGCCAGCGAUUCGGUCGGGAACUCAAAGGAGACUGCCGGUGAUAAACCGGAGGAAGGUGGGGAUGACGUCAAGUCAUCAUGGCCCUUACGAGUAGGGCUACACACGUGCUACAAUGGCGCAUACAAAAGAGAAGCGACCUCGCGAGAGCAAGCGGACCUCAUAAAGUGCGUCGUAGUCCGGAUCGGAGUCUGCAACUCGACUCCGUGAAGUCGGAAUCGCUAGUAAUCGUGGAUCAGAAUGCCGCGGUGAAUACGUUCCCGGGCCUUGUACACACCGCCCGUCACACCAUGGGAGUGGGUUGCAAAAGAAGUAGGUAGCUUAACCUUCGGGGGGCGCUUACCACUUUGUGAUUCAUGACUGGGGUGAAGUCGUAACAAGGUAGGCGUAGCGAG